GAUCUCCGUACGUGACCUGCGGAGGGUCAUUACACAAAUAUGAAGGCGGGCUGGAACCUCUCGGGGUUACAGCCUUGCUGAAUUAUUCACCCUUGUCUUUUGCGUACUUCUUGUUUCCUUGGUGGGUUCGCCCACCACUAGGACAAACAUAAACCUUUUGUAAUUGCAAUCAGCGUCAGUAACAAAUUAAUAAUUACAACUUUCAACAACGGAUCUCUUGGUUCUGGCAUCGAUGAAGAACGCAGCGAAAUGCGAUAAGUAGUGUGAAUUGCAGAAUUCAGUGAAUCAUCGAAUCUUUGAACGCACAUUGCGCCCUUUGGUAUUCCAAAGGGCAUGCCUGUUCGAGCGUCAUUUGUACCCUCAAGCUUUGCUUGGUGUUGGGCGUCUUGUCUCUAGCUUUGCUGGAGACUCGCCUUAAAGUAAUUGGCAGCCGGCCUACUGGUUUCGGAGCGCAGCACAAGUCGCACUCUCUAUCAGCAAAGGUCUAGCAUCCACUAAGCCUUUUUUUCAACUUUUGACCUCGGAUCAGGUAGGGAUACCCGCUGAACUUAA
rnacentral:rRNA from 1 species